rnacentral:rRNA from 1 species
GCCUGUGCUUGCAAGCUACUGCUCUUGGAUGAGUCCGCAUGGCAUUAGCUAGUUGGUGGGGUAACGGCUCACCAAGGCGACGAUGGGUAGCCGGUCUGAGAGGAUGACCGGCCACACUGGGACUGGAACACGGCCCAGACUCCUACGGGAGGCAGCAGUGGGGAAUAUUGCGCAAUGGGCGCAAGCCUGACGCAGCGACGCCGCGUGAGGGAUGAAGGUCCUCGGAUCGUAAACCUCUGUCAGGAGGGAAGAACCGCCUCGGUGCUAAUCAGCCGUGGUCUGACGGUACCUCCAAAGGAAGCACCGGCUAACUCCGUGCCAGCAGCCGCGGUAAUACGGAGGGUGCGAGCGUUAAUCGGAAUCACUGGGCGUAAAGCGCACGUAGGCUGCUUGGUAAGUCAGGGGUGAAAGCCCGCGGCUCAACCGCGGAAUUGCCUUUGAUACUGCCGAGCUAGAGUCCGGGAGAGGGUAGUGGAAUUCCAGGUGUAGGAGUGAAAUCCGUAGAGAUCUGGAGGAACAUCAGUGGCGAAGGCGACUACCUGGACGCGGUACUGACGCUUGAGGUCGA